GCUGGUGGCCUGGUAUACACACGUUCGCCUCACAGAACUUCUCAGCAAACUGUCGACUCAAAGAGUCAAAAUACCUAAUUCACUCUCCAUCCAAUCAUCCAUGAUCCAUCAGUGAUCAAUCUUUUUUCAGUUUCCCACUCUCGAUCUCUUCUCGCUUUUUCCACUCAAUGUCACUUUCCCUUUUCGAUAUCUUGGUGGAUGGCGGGAUCGAUUAUUCUACAGGUUCACUAGAUUGCGCGGCUUCCCAAACUGAUUCGGAUGCUUAAUUACGGGAUUAAUUAAUUGAUUUCACAGAUGGAUUGCUGGGCUUCUUGUAUCGGGGUAUGGUAUGACUGAGACAAAUAUGAUUAGUGGUGUUGGUCAAUCUGGUAUAUCUUCUGCUAAUGGCACAAUGAUGCCGACUCCUGGAAUGGGUCAACAAGGACAGUAUUUAAACUUCUUUACUGUAUUAGUGCUUGCUUCGGUUAGUGUAUUUCUUCUUCUCAUUCUCAUUUUGCCAACUAUAAUUUUGAUAUUAUCAUCCUCAUUUGUUAUCUGAAAAGAUAGAUACAUCUAUAUUUCCACACAUGAAAUAAAUUAUAGAGCUCUGGCUCCUAUAUAGGAGUAUCUGUCUAGCUGUUUAUUAGCAAGUAUUGCAAGGACUAAUUCAAAUAACUUUGGAAGGUACCAAAACCUCAGUUCGGCCUUGCUGGUAUAAUGUGGGUAGCUUUCGCCGAGAGCAAACAGAUCUAUUAAGGGAUUUUUGCCCGGUAAAAGCUGUGAAUGCAUCAAGAAAUGUGGACACUGAAAACUGCAUGGUCAACUAAUAGAUACAGUUUAUUAGUGAGAAAGUUGCUUGUUUGGCUUAUGCUCGAAUCCAGGCUUCUCUUAUCAUCUUGGAAGAGAUAUAUUAUACCGGGUAUAUGUGGCAUUCUUGCGGGUUCUUUAUAUCAGUUAAAUUUUUUUUUACAUCCGAAAAUUGAAGAAGUUGCCUCAGUUCCCAUUACCCACUCACAAUGUUGUUGUGAGAGGACAUUCUCCGCGGGAAUUUGAGAUCUUCGUGCAACAUAUCAAGACAUUGCUUUCGGGGCUUAAAUUAUGCACUAGUUUCCGUCGCAAAGGAGCAUCCUAGUUAUGGAACAGCUUUGUCUUCUGUGAUUGAGGGAAAGAACGAAGAAAUGUCUAACACCUGAGCUGUCUGGUGGAGCAAGAAUUCAUUAUAUAUUCCAAUUAAUAUUUGUGAAGAGUUUGGAGAUGUUCUUAGUGUAAUAAAAAAAUUCAUUAUAUAUAACAAUUAAUAUGCGUGAAGAGUUUGGAGAUGUUUCUAAUGUAAUAAACUAGGUAAUAUUUUUUUAUUAAUAAGAUCGAGUUGUUUAUUCA